rnacentral:misc_RNA from 1 species
AAGUCGUAACAAGGUUUCCGUAGGUGAACCUGCGGAAGGAUCAUUAACACGUUAUCCACGUAUCUACCUCUUGCGAACUUUUUACCGUUCAGGAGUCGGCAGACCAGCGUAGAUGAUGGAGGUAGAUGUUACUAUGUCCAGUGGCCGACGCCCUGGUUCUACCUGCCUAACUAACCCCGUGCUAAAAUGUGGUGUAGCAUGUGGGUUGGGUAUUCUGGUUCAUAUGACUCGAAUCAUAGUAGUUUUUAUUCUUAUUAACCCUUUUUACCAAAUUUGUUGAAUUGUGAUGGUCUCUGGAGGUAACACUUCGGCCGACUCACGUUAAUAAAACACUAUACAACUCUUAGCAACGGAUAUCUCGGUUCUCCUAUUGAUGAAGAACGCAGC